UCGGGAAUUUUGGGCAAUGGGCGAAAGCCUGACCCAGCAACGCCGCGUGAGGGAUGAAGUAUUUCGGUAUGUAAACCUCGAAAGAAUGGGAAGAAUAAAUGACGGUACCAUUUAUAAGCUCCGGCUAACUACGUGCCAGCAGCCGCGGCAAUACGUAGGGAGCAAGCGUUGUUCGGAUUUACUGGGCGUAAAGGGCGCGUAGGCGGCGCGGUAAGUCACUUGUGAAAUCUCUGAGCUUAACUCAGAACGGCCAAGUGAUACUGCUGUGCUAGAGUGCGGAAGAGGCAACCGGAAUUCUUGGUGUAGCGGUGAAAUGCGUAGAUAUCAAGAGGAACACCGGAGGCGAAGGCGGGUUGCUGGGCCGACACUGACGCUGAUGCGCGAAAGCCAGGGGA
rnacentral:rRNA from 1 species